rnacentral:rRNA from 1 species
AGAGUUUGAUCCUGGCUCAGGAUGAACGCUAGCGGCAGGCUUAAUACAUGCAAGUCGAGGGGCAGCACGAAUAGCAAUAUUUGGUGGCGACCGGCAAACGGGUGCGGAACACGUACGCAACCUUCCCAGAACAGGUGAAUAGCCCUGCGAAAGUAGGAUUAAUACACCGUAAAAUAUAGUUGUGGCAUCACAUUUAUAUUAAAGGUCGCAAGAUCGGUUUUGGAUGGGCGUGCGCCUGAUUAGGUAGUUGGUGCGGGUAACGGCCCACCAAGCCUUCGAUCAGUAACUGGUGUGAGAGCACGACCAGUCACACGGGCACUGAGACACGGGCCCGACUCCUACGGGAGGCAGCAGUAAGGAAUAUUGGUCAAUGGACGGAAGUCUGAACCAGCCAUGCCGCGUGAAGGAUGAAGGCCCUCUGGGUUGUAAACUUCUUUUAUCUGGGACGAAAAAAGGGCUUUAUAGCUCACUUGACGGUACCAGAGGAAUAAGCACCGGCUAACUCCGUGCCAGCAGCCGCGGUAAUUC